GGCUACUUUGGGGGACAUUGCUCACACACAGCGCCUUCAAGAGGUUCCCACACUGCUUGCCUGGUCAAGGAAAGACUGCAUCAACAGAGAUACUCUCCGGCGGCCUUUCAGGAAUUUGCAUCGGCCGCCAGGCAAAUACAGGACACCAGAAGACAACGAUGCGCCCAGCAUCCAGUUGUUUGAGCAGCCUGAGGUGCCUGCAUGACGGGCUAGUAUGCUAACUUCCUCUAAGAGAUCUGUCUCCACCAUCUUCCCUUGGCCUCUGCGCUUGGGACCCAGGACGCGUCUUUCUAGCCCAUUCCUGGCCCAAACUGGGACGCAAGUUCAGCCCUCGAAGUUGCUAGUGGCCCA
rnacentral:lncRNA from 1 species